GGGGGUAUAGCUCAGUGGUAGAGCGCCCGCUUCGCAUGCGGGAAGUCAAGGGUUCAAACCCCUUUACCUCCA